rnacentral:rRNA from 1 species
GGGAAACUGCCUGAUGGAGGGGGAUAACUACCGGAAACGGAUGCUAAAACCGCAUAGGUCUUCGAGCCGCAUGGCUUGAAGAGGAAAAGAGGCGCAAGCUUCUGCUGAUGGAUGGACCCGCGGUGCAUUAGCUAGUUGGUGAGGUAACGGCUCACCAAGGCAGUGAUGCAUAGCCGACCUGAGAGGGUGAUCGGCCACAUUGGGACUGAGACACGGCCCAAACUCCUACGGGAGGCAGCAGUAGGGAAUCUUCCGCAAUGGACGCAAGUCUGACGGAGCAACGCCGCGUGAGUGAAGAAGGUUUUCGGAUCGUAAAACUCUGUUGUUAGAGAAGAACAAGUGCUAGAGUAACUGUUAGCGCCUUGACGGUAUCUAACCAGAAAGCCACGGCUAACUACGUGCCAGCAGCCGCGGUAAUACGUAGGUGGCAAGCGUUGUCCGGAUUUAUUGGGCGUAAAGCGAGCGCAGGCGGUUCCUUAAGUCUGAUGUGAAAGCCCCCGGCUCAACCGGGGAGGGUCAUUGGAAACUGGGGAACUUGAGUGCAGAAGAGGAGAGUGGAAUUCCAUGUGUAGCGGUGAAAUGCGUAGAUAUAUGGAGG